rnacentral:tRNA from 1 species
AGUGUAGCUAAAUCAGCCUCACACGCGGAAGGUCGCUGGUUCGAUACCAGCCGGGACCACCA